GGGAUCAAGGUGUUAGCGGCAGCAUGACCGGCUCUUAACCGGUUCGGUCGGGGUUCAAGUCCCCGUGAUCCCA
rnacentral:tRNA from 1 species